rnacentral:rRNA from 1 species
AACGCUGGCGGCGUGCCUAACACAUGCAAGUCGUACGAGAAAGUUGGCUUCGGCCGAUAAGUAAAGUGGCGCACGGGUGAGUAACGCGUGGAUAAUCUACCCUUUAGUUGGGAAUAACUCAUCGAAAGGUGGGCUAAUACCCGAUAAUACUGCUUUUAUUCCGAUUAAGCAGUCAAAGAUAGCCUCUGUUUACAAGCCUUCACUAAAGGAUGAGUCCGCGUACCAUUAGCUAGUUGGUAGGGUAAUUGCCUACCAAGGCGACGAUGGUUAGCUGGUCUGAGAGGAUGAUCAGCCACACUGGAACUGAGACACGGUCCAGACUCCUACGGGAGGCAGCAGUGAGGAAUCUUGCGCAAUGGGGGAAACCCUGACGCAGCAACGCCGCGUGAGUGAGGAAGGUUUUCGGAUCGUAAAGCUCUGUCGGGUGAGAAGAAAUGUAUAGAAGUUAACAGCCUUUAUACUUGACGGUAUCACCAGAGGAAGCACCGGCCAACUCCGUGCCAGCAGCC